CCCUGACGAAGCAGGAGACACAACCAGCAGACUCUGCCACAGUCUUCGCGUAUAUAUCCCAUGUGAUGCCUUUAUCCUCAGUCCUUGGAAAGGAGGUGGAUGAAGAGCACUCUCAGGACCUUGAGUAAGGUAGAGCUGGGAGCUGAAGGAGCCUGGUUCCUCAGUCACUGCAUGGAUCAGAGAACCUCCUCCCUACCUGUGCUGAAUUAAUCAGCCAGGUGUCCUGGAGGGCCUGAGAGGGACCAGGGUGAUGAUGGGAUCCGGAGAAGAAAGUCAGAUUGGAGCAUAUGAAGCAGUGCAUAAGCAUUUAUGAUGGGUGAAGCUGAUGUGUUGCAACGAAUAUCUCAUGCAGGCACUUUGGAUCCAACUCAACUCAUCACACAUUUAUGGUGCCAGAUGCCAAUUUGGAGAAGAAAGGGUCUUGUUCUCAUGAAGCUCACAGAGAAACAGACUCGCCCCAUGGAGGGGACAAAUUGGAUUCAUGACCAGACCUCUGAGGGGCUGCGUCUCCAGGCAGCUGGUGGGAAGCUGUCUGGAAACAAAUACAUUUUCCAGCUCGCUCGACCCUCACAUUUCCACAGCAGAAGGUGUGUGAUGUGGACUAACUGAAACUUGCCACCAGCUUGUCUCAUCUCUCAUGAAACUGCUGGAAGAAACACAGUGGAUAAUGACUCAUUCCUGUGCUCUGUCCAGAUAAUAACUCUCACUUCUUAAUAACUUCCCUCUGGCCAUCGAGAUCUCAAAUGCAAUAAAAUGUUGUAAGCUGGCAGAUGAUAUUUUCAUUAGAUGUGAAGCAAU